CAGCCGCCACGGUAAUACGUAGGGUGCAAGCGUUAAUCGGAAUUACUGGGCGUAAAGCGUGCGCAGGCGGUUCUAUAAGACAGAUGUGAAAUCCCCGGGCUCAACCUGGGAACUGCAUUUGUGACUGUAGUGCUGGAGUGCGGCAGAGGGGGAUGGAAUUCCGCGUGUAGCAGUGAAAUGCGUAGAUAUGCGGAGGAACACCGAUGGCGAAGGCAGUCCCCUGGGCCUGCACUGACGCUCAUGCACGAAAGCGUGGGGAGCAAACAGGAUUAGAUACCCCGGUAGUCCCUGUCUCUUAUAA
rnacentral:rRNA from 1 species